GAAACGAUGAUUAAAACCUCAUAAUGCCGAAGGAACACAUGUUUCAUCGGCCAAAGAUUUAUCGGUCAGGGAUGGGCCUGCGUCUGAUUAACUAGUUGGUGAGGUAACGGCUCACCAAGGUGACGAUCAGUAGCCGACCUGAGAGGGUGAUCGGCCACAUUGGAACUGAGACACGGUCCAAACUUCUACGGAAGGCAGCAGUAGGGAAUCUUGCACAAUGGGCGAAAGCCUGAUGCAGCAACGCCGCGUGAAGGAUGAAGGCCUUCGGGUUGUAAACUUCUGUUCUUAGGGAAGAAGAAAGUGACGGUACCUAAGGAGAAAGCCCCGGCUAACUACGUGCCAGCAGCCGCGGUAAUACGUAGGGGGCAAGCGUUAUCCGGAAUUAUUGGGCGUAAAGAGUGCGUAGGUGGUUAUCUAAGCGUAAGGUUUAAGCGUGCAGCUCAACUGCAUCUCGCCUUGCGAACUGGACUACUUGGGUGCAGGAGGGGAAAGCGGAAUUCCUAGUGUAGCGGUGAAAUGCGUAGAUAUUAGGAGGAACACCAGCGGCGAAGGCGGCUUUCUGGACUGUAACUGACACUGAGGCACGAAAGCGUGGGGAGCAAACAGGAUUAGAUACCCUGGUAGUCCACGCCGUAAACGAUGAGCACUAGAUGUUGGUCCCGAAGGGAUCAGUGUC
rnacentral:rRNA from 1 species